UGAUCGAUUCAGACUUAACCAAGCCUUCAA
rnacentral:piRNA from 1 species